CAUUGAUUAAAUCAAAAGUAGAAAGAAGCUGAAAAAUUCAAGACGGAGAAAACGAAGGCUUAUAUUGAAAAUACAACAACAGAUGAAAUCAAGUACUAAUACUGAUAAUCAAUAAUUUAUUACGGAAGAUCUUUUAGAUUUCUCCAAUGAAGAGAUGCUGCAGUAGUUUUAGGAACAAACCAAUUACAAUUAUUGUGGUAUGAGUGCAGAACGAGGGAUGAAUUUCAUGUGCAACUGGAAUUGAUGUGAGCAAUUAUGGAUCGAGAGGGAGCAACUGGACUUUAUGUGAUUUUUUUUCUUUGUUUUGUUAUCUUUAACAGUUCAAAGAUUACAUUUUAUGGUCACAAUUUUGCAACUUAGAAGUUGUCAUUUGGUU